CUUCUACUAUGACCAUUUGAGGUAUCCAAGUCUCAGCGAUAAGUGAAUAGACAAAGUUAUAUCAUAAUGGGAUAGAUAUCCCGGGCCUUUUCUUAAGACAAAAGACUUAAAGGUUCUAUCGAACUUAUACGCAUGGUCCUAUUUAAGGGGAAGAAAACAUAAAGGGAAACUGGGAAGAAGGCCCGUGAGACUGGAAUGCUUUCUAUUUGCAUGAGUAUAUAUAAAAUCCCUAUACAGAGGUAGCCCAAUAAACAACAAUUACUACGAACUAAUGCUAGAUGGAACCUGGAAAUCUCAUUUCCGAAUCAAACAUGUCGGAAUUAAAUUUCAAAGGGAACGAAUAACCAAUAAUCAAAUGAAAAUUCUUUAAACCAACAUCUCCCUCUCUCUGGAAAGUCACGGAGAAUCAUGAGCCAAGAGUUCAUUGGGAAGUUUUCACCACACUUUACUAGAAAUAACAACCAGAGAAGCUCCACAGAUUCUGAGUAAAACAGGUAAGCAGGGCAGAGUAACUAGAAAUCCAGCAAAGGUAACUUCUACCCAACAAAUUCCAUGAUCGAAACCUCAACUGGAACAGUCAGAUACAGAAAGAUAGCGAUUAGGAGAGUUUUUAAUAAGACAGGGCAUUCCGCGAUAAAAUUGAGGUUAAUAUAUAUUCGAUUGGUCCGGUGCACAGUAAAGCAGUACAACGUUAUUUGAGACAUCAAGUCAUUAUCUCAUUUACACAAAAGCAGUCAACGAAUUUCAUUCAAGAUGCUAAUGAAUGUUGUCAUUUGAGGCUUGCUUCCAUAUUCAGGUCAGACGAAAUGUAUAGGUAUAAAAAGAGUAACCUUUCACGUAAAACCAUGGUUUGCACUGACGAUGUAUUGAACAAGUUUACAUAGAGGAAAAGAGAAACCCAUGGAACAACCAGUAAAACAAACUGAUAAAGAAAAUUUCUUCAAAUAAAUACCAGACUGAAAAUUCAAUGGAUUUCACGGCUCCUACAACAUAUAAUCCCAGCACACAACAACAUUACUAUAACGAAAUGUUAAAGAAAGAGAUGAAGAGAAGAAAACCAUAUCAAAAUUAAAACGAAAAAGAGGUGUUUACCUCUCUCGGAGCAGCGAAACGGGGCAAGGAGCUACGAUCGGACUCUUGUCACCACCAGGAAAGCUUAAUACCGCCGUGAACACUCGACUAGCUAACUAUUUCUCCCUAAAAUCUUUACCGAACAAAGUUUCUCUUUCCCGAAACCAAAUUACUCUUUUACGAAACCCUCCUUCUUUUACCCAAAAGGAAAAUUUUUGUUCAACCCAGGUUUUUAGAAAAUUUUAUAAACCCCAGAAUUAUCAACCUCCAAAGAACCCCCCAGAAUUUUCCCACCCUAAUUCUCCCAAAAAGAAGCCCCCCAAAACAGUGACCCAGGGGUCUUUAUAUAGAAAACGAAGUAGGGUAUUUUAGGGGUUUGGAAGAAAGAUAUUUUUUGAAUUUUGAAAUUCGAAAAUCUUCCCCCCACAGCCCAUUUUUGUCCUUAAUCGACUCCAAUUUUGGGUUUGGUGGACCAAUAUAAUUGGCAAAAAACCAAUUCUCCCCCAGACGCAAUGAACAAUUGCCAAAUAUGUACCUAAUUCGUACCCCCCAUCCCGAAAUUUGCGGAGUUGAACGUUGGGGGAGACACCUGGACUAUUUCUAGAAGAUUUUGGAUUCUUUCUUUCUCCUACUGACACGUGAGACGGGUGAAGAAGGAUAGGGUCGGGUUGAAGCUAGUUUUCUCGAUUUUGGGUCGAAGAUGUCAUUGCAAUUUCGAGUUGAAGAGGGUUAUCGGGUUUAAUGUUGUUGUUGCUUUGAUUGAGGAGAGAAGAAGGAUUACUAAUGCUAGUGUCGAGCGUAUUGUUGAAAAUGGGUUGGAAAGAAAUGGGUCACGGAGAAACGGGUUGAAACUACUGUUGCAGUUGUUUGUUAGGUUAAGGGGAAGAGAUGAGAGGGUUUGGGACGGGUAUGUGGCUUUGGACUGGGCUGAUAUUGCUAAUUGGAAAAACUGAAGGGGAAUGGGCCACUGGAGUUGGUUGUUGCUUGGGGUCGUUUAGGAAGAAGGAAAAUGGGGGUUAGUUAUGGGCCUGGUUGAGACAGGUUGGGUCAGUUGAUGUUGUUGGGUUGCAUAGUUGGCCCAAAUUUGGGCUUUUUUUUUAGGGAUUGGGAGAUUGUUUGGGUUAAAAUAAAAAGAGCUUCAGAUUUUGGGCUAUUUAUUAAAUAGCCUACGAUAGGAUUUAGCCAAUUGUGUUUAAAUUUUGACCUAAUUGAGGAUUAAUCGGUCAAUUGUGUUGCAAUUGUAGCCAAAUAAACUUCAAUUAAAUCUAAUUUAACAAAUUGAAUCAAGAUUUAAAAUGAAUUUAGCAACUAGUUUAAUCCCGAGGUUCUUUGAUUCGAUAAGAUCAAGUAAACAUUUUUCCGAAUAAACCAUUUUUUGAAGUAGAUCAUUUUCAAAUCAAGAUUUUAAUUAUUGUAUUUAUUUUCACAAUAUUCUUUAAUUAAAUCCGAUAUUCCAUAGAAUAAACGUUUAAGUAAUCAAAUUGUAUAAUAUCGAAUAAUUGAACACGAUAAUAUAUAAUUGCUGCUUAAAGUGACAAAAUCACGUACAAAUAUGCUUUUCAAAAUUCUUAUUCGGAUGAAAUAAAUAUGUCGAUCGAAGAAACUCAGGAUUAAAUUUAGCCAUGGAGGGAAAAAAUUAGGUGUCAACAACUGCCCCCUCCCUUUGGAUAGGGUGGAUGUAAGUAAUCCUGGGCAAAGGAGGUUGACAUUGCUAAUUUUUGUCCGACCAUAAAUUCAAAUUUGAAAGAGGUUGUUUUUUUGCAUGAGUUUCAUGGAGUUAUGGCCAAACCUUGGUAUCAGGUCUCCUACGUAUCUCAGGUUUCAUGAUAAUUCAGGCCACUUGUAGUUCAUAAAGCUUGAUUUUUAGCGCGAUUUUCAAAAAUUUACAAGCUGUCUCGAUUUUAGAGUUUUGAUAAAAUCGAAAAGCUGGGGAAUAGAGGGAUUUGGGGAAGGUUGGAAUGCAUUCGAGUUUUCUACAUAGUUCCCAGCCUACAAAUCUCUAAGACUCAGGGAAUCAGACUGUUUGUAGUUCGACUCAAUUGGUAGAAAAGAUAGUCUUUUGUUUCGGACCAUCUUUGGCUCAGAAUGGGUGACAAGUUGAUCGAGUUAUGGAAAAGAGGCUUCUAACCUCUUAACCAUGAAUGUGUAUCUCUUCAUAUCCAUAGGUAAUAACUUAGCUGGGCAUAAUUUCCAAAACUCUAGGAGUCCUAUCACUCGAAUUUGGAAGAAAGAGAAGGUUACCCGCGGCAUGAGUUAAGAAAUAUCCUGUAGUUGAAGCUGAGACUUAGAACAUCCCAAAAUAACCACAUGCCUUCUAACAGGGGUGUGGUUGAAUGGUGGUGGUGAUCAUCCUUUAACUCACAUCCAAAGAGUUUGACGUCCCUCUCUAGACUAUGUCCUGUUUUGCUGCUAAGAAAGAAUUCAACAUUGUGCUGCAUCCUUUUUCGAGUUGUCCGCACCUGUGGUUUUUGGUUUGAGAUUUUCAUCCUCUCGGAUGCUCUUGACAAUAUCUCAAACAAAAAUCAUUAGUAAUAAGCAUAAUUCACGAAAGAGGUGCGUAGUAUUUUACCAUAUCUCCACAUGAGUUGUUGCCUAAAAAGUGAAGUCAUCUUUGCUUGUGCAUGCUUGGAAGGAAAUAACUUGCAAUAACAGAAAUAACAACUCUCUUGGUUGUUGCAUAAUUAUCUCAUCUGUCGAGCGAAUAUGUUUUCAAAGUGGGGUGGCCCUUUUGGAUACCGACGACACUUUAUGUAGAACGGUUUCUACAACCGUGCAACCUUGCAUUGAUGAGGCAACCCUUUCAAUUGCCUAUAAUUCUUGUUGUAUGUGGAAGGAUAACCUUUUUGGUUAUUGACGAUAAUUCUUGGCAUAUGAUUUCGAGUAAGCUUUUGUUCAUGUAUCGAUAUGACUUAUGGAUUUCCCUUGAAUUGUUAAUCUUCGGAUAAUCUUGUACAUUAUUUGAUAUUGGAUACGAGGCGACUUACAGAUAUCCAUUGAGUUGUUAGCUUUUAGGUAAUCCUGUACAUUAUCCGACCUUUGAUAUGAGAUGACUUACAGAUAUCCCGCUAAUCGUUAGCUCUCCGAUACUCUUGCACAUCAUCCGACCUUGGAUAUAAUAUGACUUACAGAUAUGUCUCAAAUUGAUAGUCUUUGGGUAAUCCUGCACAUAAUUGAUCUUGGAUAUGACGCGGAUUAUAGAGAACCCUUGGGCAUUAUCAAUGUGAUAACCUUGCAUAUUCUCCGGUAAGGAUUUAGCUGUGACUUAUGGAUAACCUUUGAACUAUCAAUUUUUGGGUUACCUUGCACACUAUCAGGUUGGGAUGUUGUUGCGGCUUAUGGAUACCCUAUGAGAUGCCAAUUCAUAGGCAAUCUUGCGUGCUAUCCUAUUUCAAAUAAUAGAACUUAUAGAUGACCCACAAAUUGUCAAUUUCUAGGAAAUCUUAUAUGUCACUUUCCUUUAGAUACCGACUUAGAGGCAUCCCUUCAAAUCGUGUGCUCUUGAUGCAUUCAUAUGCUGAUUAAUAAAAUAAUGAGAUGUCCUUAACGCCAAUGUUUAUGUCUUGUGUGUCAAUAGAUAUAAAAUGAUGAUGAUAUCCUCGACACCAGCGUUGUGUCUAGCGCGUCAACAUAUAUUGAAUGAUGAUAAUAUCCUCGACGCCAACAUUGUGUCUUGCAUGUCAAUAGAUAUAAAAUGAUGAUGAUAUCCUCGAUGCCAGUGUUGUGUCUAGCGCAUCAGCAAAUAUUGAAUAAUGAUGAUAUCCUCGACGCCAGCGUUAUGUUUUGUGUGUCAACAGAUAUAUUGAAUGCUGAUGAUAUCCUCGAUGCCAGUGUUGUGUCUAGCGUCAACAGAUAUUGAAUGAUGAUGAUAUCCUCGACGCUAGCGUUGUGUCUUGCAUGUCAACAGAUAUAAAAUGCUCCUCUCGACAAAUGAUAUGAAUGACCUUCUUGGCAAUGAUAUGAAAUGGCCCUCUUGCCAAUGAUCUGCAAUGGCCCUCUUGGCAAUGAUAUGCAAUGUCCCUUGCGGCAAUGAUAUACAAUGGCCCUUUCGGCAAUGAUAUGCAAUGGACCCUGCAGCAAUAAUAUGCAAUGGCCCUUGGGGCAAUGAUAUGUAAUGGCCCUUGCGGCAAUGAUAUGCAAUGGCCCUUGCGGCAAGGAUAUGUGAUGGCCCUUGCGGCAAUAAUAUGCAAUGGCCCUUUCGGCAAUGAUAUGCAAUGGCCCUUUCGGCAAUGAUAUGUAAUGACCCUUGCGGCAAUGAUAUGCAAUGGCCCUUGCGGCAAUGAUAUGCAAUGGUUCUUCCGAUAAAUUAAAAAUAGUUUCACCUAAAAUCAUUUGUCAGGGUCUUGCUUUCUGCAUAUACCUGUACUCAAGGUAGAUGAUUAGUAGACACAAAGCCGCUUUUGCUAGUGACUAUUUUUUAGAAAAGUUCUAACUACAAUAUUUGUAAAGAAGACAAGACACUUUUGUUUGUUCUCCAUGAUCUCAAGAAAUAAGAUGGACAAUUCAAAAGGUCGUCAAUAAAUAGGUGUUGAGCCAGUUUUUGGGCUACCAAAAGUACCGUUAUUAAGCCUUAUAUGCUCUGUCAUGGAUCCCGACUUUCUUGGGGAUUUUCCAAAAGAAACACUCAUUCUUGGAGUGUUCUUCAAAUAGCUCUGUCAUAGUCAGAAAUUGAGUCUACCUAAACUUUGUCACAAUUGGUGGCUUUAAAAGCUUGGCUUUAACCUCUAGUGCCGGGGAAUUUGAAAUAUAUUCCAGUAUUUGGUGGAAAUUUUGAGGCCUCCCUCAAAAUUAUGUGCCAAUUUAGAGUAGUCAGAGAUGAUAUCAUCUCGAGUGGAUCUGAAGUCUUUUCUAAUCUUCAUUCUCUUUAUUGGAUGUUGAUCUUCUCUUGUGAAUUUUCGAGAUUCCUUAUCAAAAAUUUUGCCCCAGUUUCCAUUUCCUGGGGUCAUAUGACUGAGUCGUUGGGGCGCCUAUGUAUCCCGUUGAAGCAGGAAUCAGGUCAAACGUAGGUCAAGACUACGCUAGGGAUAUAGAUAGAAAAAUUCUAAUGGGUUGACCGAAGCCAACAUAGGCCGCCUACGUAUCCCUUUCUUGGGAAUUCAGGUCAAACGUAGUUCGUAUAUAAAAGGAAAGGAUAAAUUUUUCUAAGGGGUUGACCGAAGCCAACAUAGGCCGCCUACGUAUACCUUUCUAGGGAAUUCAGAUCAAACGUAGUUCGUACAUAGAGGGAAAGGAUUCUAGGCAAUUACACAUCAUAAAAUUGAUACUAUUAUAAAGGCAAUUACAAAUAAGCCAAGAAACAAAAACUAUAACAUCUUUCAAGCAUGAUAUAUAUUUACCGCAUCAGAAUUGAUUGGUUUGGUCCACUCUUGACCAUCCAUCUUAGGUAGGAUUAGGGCUCCUCCAGGUUGGGCUUCUUUUGAUUUUCACAUUCCUUUAUAUCUACUACUAACGGCUCCUCAUCACCUUUUUUGUUCAUCAUUAUUUCCUUCACCUUGUUCGUCUAACCCUUGACAUAUCAUGACAUUGACAGGUAUUUAAAUUAUUGCUACCAAAAUAAACCAUGCUAGAUAAUUAUAUUUAAAAAAUAACUUCUUAAAUAAAGGGAGGCCUUUUGGAAAAUAAAUAAAAACUAUGGCUUAUGACCCACACAAAUGUGGGCCCAUGCCUUUUUGAAAGUUGUAAAACAUGAAACGAAAAUUUGAGACAUAAAAGGGUGGAUCACGGGGCCUCCUCCUGAUCAUGACCGAUUUUAAAAACUAUUAGUAAUUGCCCUUCUAUCUACCGCGACAGGCGAUAAAUUAGGAGCGGAGUGGAAGUCCAAUUUUGUAAAGCCUCUCCUGGUGCAACUUUCUUUACCCCACCGGACUUUGGAAAAUCAUCUGGUAGAGCAUUGCAUCCUUCGAACAGAUCUUUUAUCCCACCCCCGAGACCAUCAUCGUUUGACACCUCAUGUAUGGGAAAUGACUGGUACAAGAUCGGCAAGGGCCUAAACAAACUCUCCUUUGAAUUAUCUUUGAUCUCAUUUUUCUUUCUUGGCUGGUACUCUAUUCCACUCUUAAAUGCUUUUCCUAGGACCAUAACAGGCUCAAAAACUCCUUCUAAAUCAUUACUUGAGGUGGCUGCAACUUUUUUUAUCUUCUCCACCUCUUCUGUUCUUCUAAGUCCUUCUGAAUUUACCUUAGCGAUGGCCUUGCUAGAUGCCCAUUCACCCUCUAUUUCAAUCAUGUUAACUGUAGGUCCCCCAUAGUUAGGCAACAGAUUACUGUUAAUAUUUAGAGUCGGCGACUGAAGUGUGAUGACCUUCUGAUUAAUCAAAUCUGGAUCUUAUGUUUCAAGUUAAUACAAUCCUUAGUAUUGUGCCCCACUGCUCUUAAAUGAUAGGCAUAAUUUUGAUCAGGAUGAUAAAACCGAGAGUUGGGAUUGAUAGGCUUUGGCUAGAUUGGUUGCAACUAACCAGCUUUCAUCAAUCUUUCAAAGAGCUGGGUAUGACUUUCAGCUAGCGACGUGAAGUUUUGGGGAGGUUUCUUUUCGAAGUUUGGACAUGGAGGGUUAUAAUGGUUCUGAUUUACAGGAGGAGGUACUUGAUGAUAAUUUGGAGAUGUUUGGACGUUUAUUAGGUUAUUUGGAAAAGUAUCUUGAGUAUAAGGCUAAUAAUUUGGUUGUGGAACUUGGCACUGGGGUAAAAUAUUUGGAAUUGGAGCUUGACAUUGGGGUUGAGCGUAGAAUACAGGCUGAAAACUUGAUGACGAUGAUGAGGAAAGAAUAUUUCUAGGCUUGAAUUUCCUCUUUAACUUAUCAAUAAAAUUAGUAGAGACUGCAGUCGCAUCCUCUCUUUUCUUCUUUGGGAAUGCAGAAAAUUCAGAUGAUGUUGGGGUUUUGGUAAUUUUUCCUGUUCGGAUGCCUUCCUCUAACGAUUCCCCAAUCUUUACUAAAUCUGCGAAAGUUGAUCGGACUGCGGAUACCAUCCUGGUAUAAAAUUCUCCUUCCUGUGUGUGAGAGAAAAUUGAUACCAUUUCUUCCUCAGACUGGGAGGUUGUACUUUAGCAGCCUCUUUUCUUUAACGAAAGGCGUAGUCUCAAAAACACUCAUUAUUAUUCUGUUUGAUCUGACCUGGUGAGUAUCGAUCAGGGACUAUCUCAAUGUUAAAUGCAUACCUGUCAAGGAAACCCUUGGCCAAGGAUUUCCAACCAGUCCAUCUUUUCAAUUCCUGAGACAUGAACCAUUAUAAGGCUUCGCCACUUAAAAUCCGGCUGAACAAAUGCAUCAAUAAUGCUUUAUUUUUCCCUACCCCCACAACUUGAUCACAAUACCUUCUCAGAUGGGCCAUUGGAUUUCUGGUGCCAUCAAACACUUCAAAUUUAGGGACCUUAUACCCUUUUGGUAGAUCUAUUCCAGGGUGAGCACAUAAAUCAUCAUACCCUAAACCGUCGUGGUCCCUCACUCCAUGAGAUUCUUUGAUCCUCAUGAUCUCUUCAUUCAUAGCUAGCAACUUCAUUUCAUGCUUGGUCCUCCACUCUUUCUCCUUCUCCUCGUAAUGGUCUAUCUCGGGAUUAGGAAGGGGAUUAUAGAUAUCAGGGGAUAUGAUUUGGAAGGGAGGCUUGAUUUUACGGAUGAAACAAAGCGGGUUGGUAGGUAGGGCGGACAUUAUGAAAAUUAGAAAGGUUUUGUGGAAUUUGAGAGUGGUUUGGUGGAAUCGGAGAAGAAUUCUGCGAAUUUGAAAAUGAAUUUGAUGGAUUCGGGAAUCUAUUUGAUGGAUUUUGCGGGUUUGGGAGUGAAUCUUGUGGAUUUGGGAAUGAAUUUUCUCGAUUUGAAAAUAUGUUCUGGGGAUUUGGGAAUGGAUUCGGAGAUGGAUUUUGUAGGGUUAGAGAUGGAUUUUGUGGAUGCUAGGCAUCUGGGUUAUUUUCCCUAUUGGUGUGAUUGGUGUUUUGGACAAAUGGAGGAGCGGAGACGGACGAUAUGUUAUUUGGCUAAUUCCCGAGAAUAGGUGUACUGAGGGGAGGAAUUUGGAGUGGAGUCCCGUGUCCUCCUAGAGCGGGGGCAUUGAUUGUGAUGGCCUGGUUAGCCAUAUCUUGAGUGCAAUUUAUUUCCUCCUGAAGCAUUUCUAAUUUUCUUGCAAGUUCCGCAAUCAUCUCACUCUGUUCCACUAUUACAUUGUCCCUGAUGGUCAAUGUGUUUUCUUCAUCAUUUCCAGUCAUUAUUGAAUGAUGGUCAGAGGAUGGGAUUUUAUCUGCUUUUGACCGAGUGAAGUAGGGAUGUUCUGCCAGCUUAUAUCAACACGGAGUAGUUUCUAUUAUCUGUAAAGUAAAACAACUCAAAGCAGAUGUGUUAGUUUUCGUAUCUGAUAAGUAAUGCAAAAUAUUUGACAAGAAAAAAUCACGUAGAGUUGUUUGAGUCAUAGCUUGCCUUUGAUCCAAACAAACACACAUAAGCACAAAAGACAAUUAUAUUACACAAAAACAUUAUAAUAAUGCAUAUCCUAACUGGGGUGACCCUUUUUGAGCCAAGGGUUCAGGCCUAACGAUUUUGAAGAAAAUAUAUGCUUCCUUAAAGUCAAUCCAUUAUCCCCCAACUUAUAUAGACAUGAAAAAAGCAUAAAUGCUUACAAACGAUAACAAAGGAGGGAUGCAAUCUUUAGGAAAAAAAGGAAAUAACAUGAAAGAAGACAAGCUCCCACGCAGGGGAUAGAAAAUACUAAUUCCUGAGUGCUUCUUCUAUCAGCCUUUGCCUUCUUAUAUUGGUGACGUCCGUAAACUAUGACUUAGAUGCAACCUCCCUCGAUCAAUUUCAAUUCCUUCAUCAAUCGGUGUACGAUUGAGGCAUCCUUAUACAAUAGUGAGUAAAGAAAGUCUACUCCCGACCCCUAAAGGAUAAUGGAUUGAAUUAGACAGACAUACAUUUUCUUCAACACAUAAAUAUAGUUCGUCUAUAAUUGACUUGGGGUCGAUAGACGCAGGGCAGGUUUUCUAAUGGGCCCAAUACCCUACUCGAGUAUUGGGUCAUCCUAAGCUCAUGCCUAAAAUAGGAUUUUGAUUUCGUUCUAUCCUCGGUGUCUAGAGUGGGUUUGCACAUUGGUUUCUCAAGCGGACAACUUGAGUUUGAAAAUACGAAGUGUCAGACGACUCACGUGCUAAUAAGCCAUUCGUAUUUCCAACACAUUUUGGAAUUGAACAACAGGGGCUAGGACAUCCACGAAACCCCAAAAUAAUUUAAAUAAUGCAGGGAUAUGCCAUGAGAUGCGAUAGCUAAUAUUUACAAAAUCGAAACAUAUAAACAUAUAAACAGUUAAUCAAAAAACGAAAUUAAACAUUUAGUUAGAACCCAGUUGAAGAUCCCCAGUAGAGUGGCCAUUUCUGUUUUGCGGAGAAAUUUUAACUUUUGAAGAGAAUCGCCACUUAAUUUUGAAAAGGAAUUAAAAAAACUUUGUAAUGUACUUAGACGAUUCAAAAUAGGAAAAUCGUUUAAGUUGGAGAUUUUAGAUAAGCGGUUCCUAUUAACAUUUUAGGAAGGUGUUAGACACCUAAAACGUCUGCUAACUUGCGAUUAUCCGAUCUGUUUGAAAACAUUCUUUUGCUUAAUUUUGGAAAAUCAAUUUGUUGAAAAAAAAAUAGUUUAUUAAGGAAAAAGUUUUUGUAAAAUCAGUUUUUUAGCGCCUUAGUUAAGAAUUUUAACUAGGUUCGCAAGAAAACACAUAAAACAAAUUAGCAAAAGUAAAAGGGAAAGGGUCGAAGCAGAAGGACUUGAGCCAUUAGGCCCAAAUCGACAACCAUGUCCUAAUCUAGAUAUUGGGCUUUCAGCCCGUCUUCCACCUGUCCUAAUUCUAUGUUUUCGAGCCUUUAGCUCGAGUUUCGCUUCAUCUGUAUUAAGUACAACUUUGGCUUCGAGGCCCAAAUGAAUAAAUAAGGAAAUAAAUAAAUAACUGUAAAUAAAUAAAUGAAGAAGACAAUAAGUAAAUAAACAAAAAUAAUAAAUGAGACUUUGGGGUCUCGUAGCCGCUUCAAAUGAUAGGACUUUAGGGUCUUGUUCUUCUUUCGAUUCUUAGUAUCCGUACGCCACGUGAUAGGCGUUUAGAUUCUUUUUCGGGCUUGACUCAAAGGAUGGGGGCCAUGUUGGUUCACCAUGAAAUGAAAGGAAGAAGAGUCCAUUUGAACUCCAAGGUGGUUUACAUGUGAAAAAAAAGAAAGAGAAGAAAUCAAAACAUAUCCGAAAUACAAAAGGAAAAAAUAGAACAAUAAAUGUCUUAGCACAAAUAUUUAAACAAAAAAAAAAUGCUAGGAAACCACAUAUCUUAUUUAAAAGUAGGAAGAUGAUAUAAAGAAGGGACAUGUUAACUCAGCAAAAAUAAUGUCAAGUGAAAGAGAGAAUAAUAUCGAUCUGGAUGCAUGCCUAUGAAGUGAAAAGCAGAAGUUUGACAUCAAAAUGCAAAAGAAAUCAAAGCAUGUUUAGAAUACAGGUAGAAAAAAGAAGUAAACAGAUUUACACAUUCAAAAGCUACUAACUAAAUAUUAUCUUAUUCAACAUCAACCUUAGAAGUAUAAAUGCCAAGUGCUAUCCCGCAACAUGCUUCUACUAUGACCAUUAGAGGUACCCAAGUCUAAGCGAUAAGCAAAUAGACAAAGUUAUAUCAUAAUGGGAUAGAUAUCCCGGGCCUUUUCGCAAGACAAAAGACUUAAAGGUUCUAUCGAACAUAUACUCACGGUCCUAUUCAAAGGGAAUAAAACAUAAAGGGAAACUGGGAAGAGGGCCCGUGAGACUGGAAUGCUUUCUAUUUGCAUGAGUAUAUAUAAAAUCCCUAUACAGAGGUAGCCCAAUAGACAACAACUACUACGAACUAAUGCUAGAUGGAACUUGGAAAUCUCAUUUCCGAAUCAAACAUGUCGGAAUUAAAUUUCAAAAGGGAACGAAUAACCAAUAAUCAAAUGAAAAUUAUUUAAACCAACAUCUCCCUCUCUCUGGAAAGUCAUGGAGAAUCAUGAGCCUAGAGUUCAUUGGGAAGUUUUCGCCACACUUUACUAGAAAUAACAACCAGAGAAGCUCGACAGAUUCUGAAUAAAAUAG
rnacentral:lncRNA from 1 species